CGAGAAGGAUGCAGAGAAAAGGACUGCUUUACAUCUUGCUGCAGAAAAGAACCAGCACCUGAUGGUGAGCGACCUGAUCUCCCUGGGAGCCAAUGUCAACGAGCAGGACAGCUCUGGGAAAACUCCCCUCCACCUGUGUGCAGAGAACGGAUACCUGAGAGUUCUGGAGGUCCUGAAAAGCUGCAAGAACAGCGGGGUGUGUGUGGAAGUGGAUCUGCCUGACCACUGUGG